GACGAACGCUGGCGGCGUGCUUAACACAUGCAAGUCGAACGGAAAGGCCCUGCUUUUGUGGGGUGCUCGAGUGGCGAACGGGUGAGUAACACGUGAGUAACCUGCCCUUGACUUUGGGAUAACUUCAGGAAACUGGGGCUAAUACCGGAUAGGAUCUCCUGCUGCAUGGUGGGGGUUGGAAAGUUUCGGCGGUUGGGGAUGGACUCGCGGCUUAUCAGCUUGUUGGUGGGGUAGUGGCUUACCAAGGCUUUGACGGGUAGCCGGCCUGGGAGGGUGACCGGCCACAUUGGGACUGGGAUACGACCCAGACUCCUACGGGAGGCAGGAGUGGGGAACAUUGCACAAUGGGCGGAAGCCUGAUGGAGCACCGCCGCGUGCGGGAUGACGGCCUUCGGGUUGUAAACCGCUUUCGCCUGUGACGAAGCGUGAGUGACGGUAAUGGGGAAAGAAGCACCGGCUAACUACGU
rnacentral:rRNA from 1 species